rnacentral:rRNA from 1 species
GACGAACGCUGGCGGCGUGCCUAAGACAUGCAAGUCGAGCGAGGGAACUUCGGUUUCCGAGCGGCGGACGGGUGAGUAACGCGUGGGUAACCUGCCCUUCAGCCCGGGAUAACUGCCUGAAAAGGUGGCUAAUACCGGAUGCGGUGAUGAGGUCGCAUGAACUGAUCACGAAAAUUACGGUGCUGAAGGAUGGGCCCGCGUCCCAUUAGCUAGUUGGUGAGGUAACGGCCCACCAAGGCGACGAUGGGUAGCCGGCCUGAGAGGGUGGACGGCCACACUGGGACUGAGACACGGCCCAGACUCCUACGGGAGGCAGCAGUCGGGAAUCUUCCACAAUGGGCGAAAGCCUGAUGGAGCGACGCCGCGUGAGGGAAGAAGGUCUUCGGAUCGUAAACCUCUGUCCUCAGGGACGAUGAUGACGGUACCUGAGGAGGAAGCCACGGCUAACUACGUG